rnacentral:rRNA from 1 species
GACCAUCUCCCAAGGCUAAAUACUCCCUAGUGACCGAUAGUGAACCAGUACCGUGAGGGAAAGGUGAAAAGCACCCCGGAAGGGGAGUGAAACAGUUCCUGAAACCGUGUGCCUACAAGUAGUUAGAGCCCGUUAAUGGGUGAUAGCGUGCCUUUUGUAGAAUGAACCGGCGAGUUACGAUUUGUUGCAAGGUUAAGCGGAAAAAGCGGAGCCGUAGCGAAAGCGAGUCUGAAUAGGGCGCAUAAGUAACAGGUCGUAGACCCGAAACCAGGUGAUCUACCCAUGUCCAGGAUGAAGGUAAGGUAAUACUUACUGGAGGUCCGAACCCACGCACGUUGAAAAGUGCGGGGAUGAGGUGUGGGUAGCGGAGAAAUUCCAAUCGAACUUGGAGAUAGCUGGUUCUCUCCGAAAUAGCUUUAGGGCUAGCCUCGAGGUAAAGAGUCAUGGAGGUAGAGCACUGUUUGGACUAGGGGCCCUUCUCGGGUUACCGAAUUCAGAUAAACUCCGAAUGCCAUGUACUUAUACUCGGGAGUCAGACUGCGAGUGAUAAGAUCCGUAGUCGAAAGGGAAACAGCCCAGACCACCAGUUAAGGUCCCCAAAUAUAUGUUAAGUGGAAAAGGAUGUGGGGUUGCUUAGACAACCAGGAUGUUGGCUUAGAAGCAGCCACCAUUGAAAGAGUGCGUAAUAGCUCACUGGUCGAGUGACCCCGCGCCGAAAAUGUACCGGGGCUAAACAUAUUACCGAAACUGUGGAUGAACCUCUUUAGAGGUUCGUGGUAGGAGAGCGUUCUAAGGGCGGUGAAGUCAGACCGGAAGGACUGGUGGAGCGCUUAGAAGUGAGAAUGCCGGUAUGAGUAGCGAAAGAAGGGUGAGAAUCCCUUCCACCGAAUAUCUAAGGUUUCCUGAGGAAGGCUCGUCCGCUCAGGGUUAGUCGGGACCUAAGCCGAGGCCGAUAGGCGUAGGCGAUGGACAACAGGUAGAGAUUCCUGUACCAGUGCUAAUUGUUUAACCGAUGGGGUGACACAGAAGGAUAGGGAAUCGCACGAAUGGAAAUGUGCGUCCAAGCAGUGAGUGUGAGAAGUAGGCAAAUCCGCUUCUCGCGAAGCAUGAGCUGUGAUGGGGAAGGAAAUUAAGUACGGAAGUUCCUGAUUUCACGCUGUCAAGAAAAGCCUCUAGGAAGAGUAGUACUGCCCGUACCGCAAACCGACACAGGUAGAUGAGGAGAGAAUCCUAAGGUGAGCGAGAGAACUCUCGUUAAGGAACUCGGCAAAAUGACCCCGUAACUUCGGGAGAAGGGGUGCUCUAUUAGGGUGCAAGCCCGAGAGAGCCGCAGUGAAUAGGCCCAGGCGACUGUUUAGCAAAAACACAGGUCUCUGCAAAACCGUAAGGUGACGUAUAGGGGCUGACGCCUGCCCGGUGCUGGAAGGUUAAGAGGAGUGCUUAGCUUCGGCGAAGGUACGAAUUGAAGCCCCAGUAAACGGCGGCCGUAACUAUAACGGUCCUAAGGUAGCGAAAUUCCUUGUCGGGUAAGUUCCGACCCGCACGAAAGGCGCAACGAUCUGGGCACUGUCUCAACGAGAGACUCGGUGAAAUUAUAGUACCUGUGAAGAUGCAGGUUACCCGCGACAGGACGGAAAGACCCCGUGGAGCUUUACUGCAACCUGAUAUGGAAUGUUUGUACCGCUUGUACAGGAUAGGUAGGAGCCGAAGAGACGUGUGCGCUAGCAUACGAGGAGGCAAUGGUGGGAUACUACCCUGGCUGUAUGACCAUUCUAACCCGCCACGCUUAGCGCGUGGGGAGACAGUGUCAGGUGGGCAGUUUGACUGGGGCGGUCGCCUCCUAAAGAGUAACGGAGGCGCCCAAAGGUUCCCUCAGAAUGGAUGGAAAUCAUUCGCAGAGUGUAAAGGCACAAGGGAGCUUGACUGCGAGACUGACAAGUCGAGCAGGGACGAAAGUCGGGCUUAGUGAUCCGGUGGUUCCGCAUGGAAGGGCCAUCGCUCAACGGAUAAAAGCUACCCCGGGGAUAACAGGCUUAUCUCCCCCAAGAGUCCACAUCGACGGGGAGGUUUGGCACCUCGAUGUCGGCUCGUCGCAUCCUGGGGCUGUAGUCGGUCCCAAGGGUUGGGCUGUUCGCCCAUUAAAGCGGCACGCGAGCUGGGUUCAGAACGUCGUGAGACAGUUCGGUCCCUAUCCGUCGCGGGCGCAGGAAAUUUGAGAGGAGCUGUCCUUAGUACGAGAGGACCGGGAUGGACACACCGCUGGUGUACCAGUUGUUCCGCCAGGAGCAUCGCUGGGUAGCUAUGUGUGGCAGGGAUAAACGCUGAAAGCAUCUAAGCGUGAAGCCCCCCUCAAGAUGAGAUUUCCCAUUUCUUCGGAAAGUAAGAUCCCUGAAAGAUGAUCAGGUAGAUAGGUUUGGAGUGGAAGUGUAGCGAUACAUGGAGCGGACAAAUACUAAUCGAUCGAGGACUUAACCAAAA